UAUUCUCUGCAUGUUAUUUAUCAGUGUCAUCAGAUCCUGACGGUUCGUCGGUCAACGUUUAACGCGUCGUUAACACGCGGUGUUAACCGUGUCGCUUAAAUAAUACGAUUAUCGAUGCUCUAUUAAGCCUAUAUAACGUCGUACAGUUCCAGAGUUACAUAGUUAUCUUCUUGUCCCUAACUUCGUUGAAACCAGCACGAAAUGAGGAGGCACGCAAAGACAAACAUAAAUUAAGCACACGCGAAUAACGCGAGAUAUCCAAACAUUGUAGCGGUCUCCACGCGCGUGGUCGCGUUCGCAAUUACACGCAAAUAAAGGAAAGGAGGAAGGAACCGCGAAACAACGCCGCGGUCGCACUUUCUAACUCCUCCGAAUCGUGCAUCGAGAGUUUGCACCUGUAUAAACAGUCGCAGCACGAAUACGAUAUAACCCGAUCGUAAAUUAAAGCUCUAACGAUACGUAUUGCUCUGGCCGCACCCAACGCUAUAUACAUAUAAGAUCACCCGUUAUAUCGCAUCACAAUCGUCGUCAUCCUCGUCGUUGUCGAAGAAAUCGCUACUCG